UACGGGGGGGGCAAGCGUUGUUCGGAAUUACUGGGCGUAAAGGGCUCGUAGGCGGCCCUCUCAGUCGGAUGUGAAAUCCCCGGGCUCAACCUGGGAAUGGCGAUGAAGACUGCAAGGCUAGAAUCUGGCAGAGGGGGGUAGAAUUCCACGUGUAGCAGUGAAAUGCGUAGAGAUGUGGAGGAACACCGAUGGCGAAGGCAGCCCCCUGGGUCAAGAUUGACGCUCAUGCACGAAAGCGUGGGGAGCAAACAGG
rnacentral:rRNA from 1 species